rnacentral:lncRNA from 1 species
CUCAACUGGGACAUCUAGUGGUGAUGCUGUAGUAAUUCAAACCGAGGCGAGAGUCCAUUUUGGUUCAGAAAAGCGUGUCUCUGUGUGACUGUUUUCGGGAUGGAUCAUCACGACUGGCAGCGAGGAAAGAGUAGAGGCCACAGGCGCUAUGAUGACGAUGAUGACGAGGCGCAGCCCGUCUACAUCGGCGUCCCGGCUGCACACAGACGGAAACGGCGCAGACACCAUUCCUGUGCCGGUGACGCAGACAGGGAGUCCCGACACGCGCACUACGAUCACCAAGUACACCGUGAACACUCGCACAGAGGAUAUUACCACGACAGAGAGGAGCACUAUGACGAUGAGGAUGGUGGCGCGGCGCAUCACGACUACAUCGACCCCGCAGGUGAGAUGCUUCCUGUUUCAGGAGUCUGACGCAAACAUUUCAUGAACAUUUAUGUAAACAA